GCCCAGAUAGCUCAGUCGGUAGAGCAGAGGAUUGAAAAUCCUCGUGUCCCUGGUUCGAUUCCGGGUCUGGGCA
rfam:Paraglaciecola sp. S66 Contig11, whole genome shotgun sequence.